AUGAAGUUAAAUGCUUCUCUAGGGCCAGAUGGUUUUAAUGUUGAAUUUUACCCGGCUGCUUGGGAUUGGAUAGGAGAUGAGAUUACCCAGCUUCAGCUUGUUAUCAACUUUUAUCUUACUGCUGUUCUGCCUCCUCACAUUAAUGAUACCAACAUUGCUCUUAUUCCUAAGAAGUUGGUUCCUCAAGUCCCUAUGGAUUAUCGUCCAAUUAGCCUUUGUAAUGUUGUUUAUAAAAUUAUUGCUAAAUCGCUUGCUAAUAGGAUCAAGCCUCUCCUGCCUGAUUAUAUAGAUCCUUCUCAGCAAGCUUUCAUUGAGGGUAGAAGAAUUAGUGAUAAUAUCAUCAUUGCCCAAGAGAUUACUCACUCUUUCUCCUUGAAAUUCUGGAAACAUAAUGCUUUCAUGCUUAAAAUAGAUCUUGCUAAAGCCUUUGAUCGUCUUUAA
rnacentral:rRNA from 1 species